rnacentral:rRNA from 1 species
GGGUUCUACCGUUGGUCAGGCUAUAGUCUGUACUGGCGUGUGGAAUUUCUACCUUCUGGGGAACUAUCAUGUUAUUAAUUUAGCGUGGUAGGAAACCAGAACCUUUACCUUGAAAAAAUUAGAGUGUUUAAAGCAGGCUUACGCUUGAAUACAUUAGCAUGGAAUAAUAGAAUAGGACUU